rnacentral:rRNA from 1 species
UACGUAGGGCGCAAGCGUUAUCCGGAAUUAUUGGGCGUAAAGAGCUCGUAGGCGGUUUGUCGCGUCUGCCGUGAAAGUCCGGGGCUCAACUCCGGAUCUGCGGUGGGUACGGGCAGACUGGAGUACUGCAGGGGAGACUGGAAUUCCUGGUGUAGCGGUGAAAUGCGCAGAUAUCAGGAGGAACACCGGUGGCGAAGGCGGGUCUCUGGGCAGUAACUGACGCUGAGGAGCGAAAGCGUGGGGAGCGAACAGG